rnacentral:rRNA from 1 species
AGCAGCCGCGGUAAUUCCAGCUCCAAUAGCGUAUAUUAAAGUUGUUGCAGUUAAAAAGCUCGUAGUUGAAUUUCGGGAUCAGUUCGCCGGUCGUGCCUUGGUAUGUACUGGUGUUACUGGUUCCUCCCUUCUGAAGAACUGUCAUGCCAUUUAUUUGGUGUGGCGGGGAAUCAGGACUGUUACUUUGAAAAAAUUAGAGUGUUUAAAGCAGGCUCGCGCUUGAAUACAUUAGCAUGGAAUAAUGAAAUAGGACGUUCGAUCCUAUUUUAUUGGUUUCUAGGAUUGACGUAAUGAUUAAUAGGGAUAGUUGGGGGCAUUAGUAUUCAAUUGUCAGAGGUGAAAUUCUUGGAUUUAUUGAAGACUAACUACUGCGAAAGCAUUUGCCAAGGAUGUUUUCAUUAAUCAAGAACGAAAGUUAGGGGAUCGAAGACGAUCAGAUACCGUCGUAGUCUUAACCAUAAACUAUGCCGACUAGGGAUCGGAUGAUGUUAAUUUUUAAUGACUCAUUCGGCGCCUUAAC